UGGGUUAAGGCUUUCAUAAUCUAAUUUUUUUUCUCCUCUAAACCUUGCAUUGUCUCACAUGUGAGUUUUUGGGGGACACCUCACAUCCAAACCAUUAGCAGUUGGGAACAUUUAUCAUGGAACAGGAGGAUAGCCAGCCGGAACUCCUGGGCAGAGGGGGGAACCUCAGAAGACCUAGCUGCAUUUCUGCCAUAGGGUCUCCCAGGGAUCAGGGAUUUGGAAGCCUCUAAGGACUAUGCAGCUAUUAUGAGGGUUGACCUUCAUAUCUCUAGAAGGGUUGGUGGGUGGGUGGUGCUCAACACCACCUGAUAAGGGAGUCACAGAAUUGAGUUGGGAGAAUGUCCUGUGUUGCUUUAUAAAUGACCUUACUGACUUACUCCUCCCAAACCUGGAAACCCACCCUCUGCACCUUCCAGACAGGCUGCAAGCUUCCAGACGGCAGAGCUGAGAAAGGAGCAUCUACACAUUUCCACCCCAAGGACAGACAGGAAAACACUCCAGCAGGAGAGCACAGUACCAGAAGCUACUGGAUCAGACAUCAGAAGGACGGUGGUUGAAUCUCCACAAGAAGGGCUUUACCAGGUACUAUUAACAACUAACACAGCAGGAAGCCCCUGCCUCUCAAGAUCAAGACCGGAGAGCCGACCACCAUCCCUGAAAGAUCAAGACCGGAGAGCCGACCACCAUCCCAGACGAAGCUGAGGGAUCAUUCCACAGCAACUGAUCUCAGAAGAGGCACCUUCCACCAAGACCAUCAGAACCAAGUUGGUGAUUUCAUAAAGGGUACAACUUCCCCCAAGAGCCAUCAGACAAGAUGGCCAGAGACACCAAUUGGCCUGCUUUCACUUGCAUAUGCUUUUGCUCUUUCCUGUGUUCUUUCUUCCUGGCCAAGUGAAGCUUUAAAUUGUUGACACUUCUCUAUUAACCGAUACCUCCUAGGUCUUUAUCCUUAUGUUUUUAUGCAGUCUUAGACACUCCAGGUUUGAAUCCAAACACAAGGCUAUAGUUUGCUCAUGAUUUGGCUAAACUUGCCAUGAUACUGUCUGUUGAGUUGUACUUGAUUUCCUCUGGGUGCCGCCCAGCUUCCUUAGCUACCAGUCUCUUGGAAUUAAUCAGCUAAUUUCCUAUGUAAUAGGGCUCAGCCAAGAAAUAAUUUUGAGAUGACAAAUGCUGUAACAGACCAUACAACUCUGAAAACCCCAUUACAUCAUAUAGAAAGAAGGUUUCUGUUUUAAGCAGAACAAUGCUCAGAAACCUUUUUGAAAUUGGGCUUUUCCAACCAACUUUUCACAAAAGGAAAGCCAGUGGUGGAGGAGAGCGUGAUAAUGAGAUAUUUUCAGAAACAGGACCCAAGAAGAGGACAAGAACCAGUAACCUAUGAGGCUCCUCUUCCCUCAUCCAGUGAGGGAAGAGGAGCCUCAUAGGGUACUUGACAGAGAGGCAGUGAGCCUCUCUGGACAGGGGUCCACAGUGUCCCUGAGUCAAUAGUCUGGAACUUGGGCCUCUGUGGAAUCUGGUGGGAAGGUAGAAUUGUUGGCAACCAUGGAACUCCAAGGUAGCAGCGUUUCGUUUCGCCCACGCUCCCAAACAACAGAAUGUCAGCUUCCAUGGCCACCAUGUUUCCCAGCUCACAACAGGACUCUUGCCCCCAAUGACCAAAACAAGGAUCUUAUUCAAAGAACAAGCAGGGACAGGGGACUAUGGCAGAGCAGUGCUACUUAUCCUCCUCCCAAGCUUUCUUCCACACUCCCUACCCUAUGGUGCUCCUUUCCAAGGUCAACCCCAGGCUGCCCUGAAACUGAGUAGCCAUCCUGGAAAAAGGGACACAGGAAAGCAUCAGGAAAGCUUGUCCCUUGAGACCUCAGAUUCUUUUGGUUAAUCUCUCCAAUCAGAGAAACAAAGAGCAUAGGUGACAUGUGGUGAAGAGAAGAGCAAAGCAGUAUUUUCGCAGGCUUAAUGGGAGAGUAGAACCUACAAACAUCAAAAUCACCCUUCAAGAUAAAAUGGUUCGUGACAAAAAUAAAUAGUAAGGCCUUUUGCAGACAUUAUCUUGGGUGACUCUCACAACAACCCUGUGAGGUAUGGAAGCCAGGUAUCACCUCAGGAGCAGCCUGAAUGUUGGGGAAGUUAAACAGUUUUUCCAAAAUCAGGACCUGGAAGUUCUGCCAUCAAAAACAAUAGUGAUUCCAAUAUACCUCACACCACCCACUAGUGGGCGAGCUCACGGCCCAGCCCCAUCAUUUUUCAUCUGGAUGGGUGGGUGGAACAGGCUUCCUGUAGGCCUCCCCUCUGAGAGCUCUGUUUCUAAUGGGAACUUGCUCUAGGAAACGAUGACCUCAGAGAUUGUAUAUCUGGGCCCUCAUGGAAAAGUGAGACCAAGGUUAACCCUUGGGCAACACGGCAUUGACUGGAUAAAACCUUAGCUCCUGGUGCUAUACCUUGAUUCCUCUUUUUGACUGUACUGAUCUUGAGAGUCUAGAAUGAAUGGCUGGAGCCCAAUUCUUACUCUCCUCUUUCUAAGCAAGCUGUAGGCAUUCACUAUUUGUGAACAAUCUGAUUUACUAUAUUGAACGAAUAGAGCUUUGUGGUUCAUCCCCAUUAUUCACUUUACAGUGGAUACAAAUAUUUUCCUUUAUUCCUUAUUUGCAAAUUUCAAGAAGGGUUUUCCGUAUGUCAUGUUCAACUGAUAUUCUUAAGUUCCUACCCUCCUCUGAUGUAGGCACGGAUUCCCAGAACUACAGGAGCCAGUGUACUCUACUACCUGGGCCUCUGCCCCUGAUGACAGAGCUUGGGCCCCAGUAUCUGAUUUGAGGCUUUCAAAGGUUCUGAGCAUUGUUAUCCCCAUCAGCCCCCAAAUAAGGGAAAGCCUUGGACUAGAGACAUCUAUGAUGGGGCCAUGGUUGAUGAAUCAGAGGCGAGGGCUCUGCUGUCCUUCUUAAUAAUCCAGUCCAUGGCCAGUGAAUCCUGUGACCAGGGUUUUAUCCUGGACCCCUCUACCACACCCAGACAGAGGGUCUGUGACUUCAAACAUAAAUCCCAGCUCCCACUCCUGCCCCUCCUCUGCUUCCCUUGAGGCUGUGCUGACCUUUCCUGACAGUUUGCAUCCCGGGUGGGCCUUGUGUCCCACAUAUCUGAUUUUAGAAAAGUGGGAGGAGUCUGUGAAAAGGAAGAAGUCAGCCCCGGCUGAGGUCUGGCCCUUGGUCCCUCUUCCAGAUUGCUGUAUCUGUUUUUUCAAAGUGUCAGUUUUAUGUUGUUUCCUCUGUAAAUAGAGGAACAACAAAAGAACCCCCAUACACUACAGUGUAGCUGAAACUAGUGCCCCAAGACUUGCUGAGAUGCAUCUGAGCAGAGUUUAUCUGAAGCAUGCGAGUGCCUCACAUAACUGGGUGUCCGAGUUCUAGAACCACAUCCUGGAGCCAUAGCACAGUGACAGUAUUCCUCAGGGUAACAGAGUCCCUGAACAGGAAGGUGAACCCAAAGUCCCCCCUCACAGCAUCCAACCUGGCAGAUCCUGCCACUCCUCCUAGGCAUUUUAGAUCCUUCCAUUCUUCUCUGGAUCUUACUAUUUUCCGAUUUCAUCCUUUCAUCAAAUCAUAAGUAUACAGUAGUGCAAUUUUCCCUUUACUCCACCUACAACCCAGAUAUUAGUGGGGUCAUCCUUUACCCUCUUGGGUCAUCUCAGCUCAGACCCUACCCUUUAAAGGUAGAGUUUUUGAUAGUCUGGAUUCUCUCAAGAAUUUCUGCUAAUUCCCAGGGAUUUACAUUUUCAGAAUUUGCUCUGUCCUCAACUCCAGCUUCUCACCUUACAUCAGUCCAGAGGAUACAGCCCCACUUCACAUUCACCCCCAAAGAGUUCACUUCUAGAGAAAGCACUAAUGUACAAUACAGCCACCAGAGAAGACACUGUAAAGCUGGUGACGAGGGCGAGAGACAGGCCCUGCCCCCCAGUCCAGCAAAGGACGUCAAAAAAACCCCCCAGCUGCUGAUUUACGCACUCAACUGUUUCCUAACCAAAACAGCCCUUGGCCCAGGGCACCUGAUCCUUUCCUACUGUAUGAUGAGGCUUUGCCAGAACUGGCAGAAAAACUAGGCUUCAACUUGUGCUAUUCCCCUCCGUCUAUUUUGGCUAGAUCCUUCUCUGAUGCUGCCUAGCCCCCAGAUUUAGAUCAGUGCUCCAUUGCAGCCUGUACUUCUGUGGCUUGUUCUGUUUUCCCCAUUAAGCUAAAAGCCCUGAGAGAGAAGUGUCAGUCAUGCCAUUCAGCACUACACCCAGUUCCUAGCUCAGAACUUAACGUGCUAGUCAUACACUAUGCAUUUGGGAUGUUUGGAUGGUUGAAUGGAUGGACAGGCGAGUUCAUUUGAGAUGACUGUGGGGCAUCUAGGUGAAGCCUUCCAGUAAGGAGAUCUAUGGAUAUGGAGCUCAGAAGAGAGGGCUGGACUGGAGAUGAGCCAAGUUCAGCCAUGUACGUAUCAGUGGCUUUCUCCUUGGAGAUGUCCCAUUGAUAAAGUACUUGAAUGUCAGGAGUACUGUGCCAGACCCUGGUUUCAAGUGUAUUGAUCUUCAUCCCCUGAGAUCACCAUCCCAGCCCCUGGUAUUCCUGGUCCUGAGCUCACUACAAGCCAUGGACUGUUUCCAGCCACUUUAUCGUAACAUUUUCCUUGAGGUCAUUAUCCCUACUGUACAGGGGAAGAAGUGGAGGACAUGAGGUUUUCCUUCACAGUGAUUCACAAGGAUCAUAAUCAGUGUGAGGGAAGCUAUGAACUGGCUACUCACUCUGUGUUCCGCCCUCUGCUGGAACUACACUUGUCAGUAACCAGUAGCUACAUGUAACUUCAGCAUGAAAUAAUUACUUAAAAUUCAGUUCCUGAAAUUGGACUAGUCACAUUUCAAAUGCUCAGUGGUCACAUUUGUUUAGAGGCUACUGUACUGGACUGUGCACAUAGAGGCCAUUUCCCUCAGCAUAGAAAGUUCUAUUGGACAGUGUGGACCUUGACUGCCUUCCUGUAAGGCAGAGCUUACAAAGCUCAAGCUGUGCUUCCCACAGUCUUUGCAGGCUUACCUGCUCAACAUACUUGUAUGAGUUUGAUGAGGCCAGAUGAGUGGGGGUGGCUCUUCUGCAGCUUCCUGGGUGUACAGCUGCGACACUGGCAUUGGACUGGCCAGCAGGGGCAGCCACCUCCCAGUUCUCACUUCUUUAUCUCUGGUCAGAACUACAUUGAAAGGUUCUUGCACUAACACUUGCAUGUGGCCGCAAAGGAGGUAGCUUUUCUGGUGGGCCAUUCCUGGUGAGCCAUUUCUGUCGUAUUCUACAGUCACCCCUGGACACUAGAGCCACGGCCAGCUCUCCCACCACAUUCUUGGUAAGCAAAAUGUGUUAAGAUUUCAUGUGUUAAAAUGUCUUCCUGCUUAAAAUAGGCAGAACAGAUUCUGUUUUCUGAACCAAAUUCUCAUUGGUGCGGUGCAGAGAAGACUUACAACAUAGCCCUUGUGUUUCCAGAUCAAUCCCCCGAGUUCCAAACUCUGUAAAUACAGUCCUGUCUCCUAGCAAUUGGACUGGGUAGCCAAACAGCCAGAACCUUUUGAACUUGUUUCUCCACCUUAUUGUCCUUCAACAUAUUGUUUAUGCCUUACCAUAUUAAACUUAGUCUGUCUGCAAGAAGUAAAUGUGGUCAAUAAAAUAACCUAAUUUCCUGGACUAAUCCAAGCAUGUUUGUGGAUCACAAAUGCACUGUAAUAAAAUGCACUGUGUAGAAUACAACUCUGUCAAAGUC